rnacentral:rRNA from 1 species
UUCACUCCUAACCCUUCUGUGACCUACCUAUCGUUGCUUCGGCGGACUCGCCCCAGCCCGGACGCGGACUGGACCAGCGGCCCGCCGGGGACCUCAAACUCUUGUAUUCAGCAUCUUCUGAAUACGCCGCAAGGCAAAACAAAUGAAUCAAAACUUUCAACAACGGAUCUCUUGGCUCUGGCAUCGAUGAAGAACGCAGCGAAAUGCGAUAAGUACUGUGAAUUGCAGAAUCCAGUGAAUCAUCGAAUCUUUGAACGCACAUUGCGCCCGCCAGCAUUCUGGCGGGCAUGCCUGUUCGAGCGUCAUUUCAACCCUCGACCUCCCCUGGGGGAGGUCGGCGUUGGGGACCGGCAGCACACCGCCGGCCCUGAAAUGGAGUGGCGGCCCGUCCGCGGCGACCUCUGCGUAGUAAUACAGCUCGCACCGGAACCCCGACGCGGCCACGCCGUAAAACACCCAACUUCUGAACGUUGCCCUCGAAUCAGGUACGACUACCCGCUGAACUUAAGCAUAUCAAAGCGAAGGAAAAAC